rnacentral:rRNA from 1 species
UACAGAGGGGUGGCAAGCGUUGUUCGGAAUUACUGGGCGUAAAGGGCGCGUAGGCGGCCCUUCUAAGUCAGACGUGAAAUCCCCCGGCUUAACCCUGGGAACUGGCGUCUGAUACUGGGAGGCUAGAGUAUGGGAGAGGGAUGUAGAAUUCCAGGUGUAGCGGUGAAAUGCGUAGAUAUCUGGAGGAAUACCGGUGGCGAAGGCGGCAUCCUGGACCAUUACUGACGCUGAGGCGCGAAAAGCUGAGGGGAGCAAACGGGG